UACGAAGGGGGCUAGCGUUGUUCGGAAUUACUGGGCGUAAAGCGCGCGCAGGCGGCUAUCCAAGUCAGUGGUGAAAGCCCGGAGCUCAACUCCGGAACUGCCAUUGAAACUGUUUAGCUUGAGGAUGAGAGAGGUGAGUGGAAUUCCCAGUGUAGCGGUGAAAUGCGUAGAUAUCAGGAGGAACACCUGUGGCGAAAGCGGCUCACUGGACCAUAACUGACGCUGAUGCACGAAAGCUAGGGGAGCAAACAGG
rnacentral:rRNA from 1 species